AUUGAACGCUGGCGGCAGGCCUAACACAUGCAAGUCGAGCGAGCGGCGGACGGGUGAGUAAUGUCUGGGCAACUGCCUGAUGGAGGGGGAUAACUACUGGAAACGGUAUCUAAUACCGCAUACCAUCAGAUGUGCCCAGAUGGGAUUAGCUAGUAGGUGGGGUAACGGCUCACCUAGGCGACGAUCCCUAGCUGGUCUGAGAGGAUGACAAGCCAAACUGGAACUGAGACACGGCCCAGACUCCUACGGGAGGCAGCAGUGGGGAAUAGUGCACAAUGGGCGCAAGCCGGAUGCGGCCAUGCCGCGUGUAGGAAGAAGGCCUUCGGGUUGUAAAGUACUUUCAGCGGGGAGGCGGUACCGGCAGAAGAAGCCCCGGCUAACUCCGUGCCAGCAGCCGCGGUAAUUC
rnacentral:rRNA from 1 species